GGCUCGGGCCCUGAACCCCGCUGCGGCUGCGCUCCCCACUGAGCUAGGGCGGGAGCGCGGGGCUCCGCCACUCCCUCAGGUUGCCCUGGGCGCCUGUGCGGAUCCCGCUACCCUCCCCGGGCUCCGGAGCUGCAGCGAGGAUCCCGGCUACCAGCGCCGCGCGGCUUCACGCCCCCGCCUUUGCCACUGCGACGCGUUGCGGGCUCCCCAAGUUGCCACAGUUCAUCACCGCCGGGUCCGAAGCCGCCCAGCCGGACGUGCGUGGGUUUUGUUCCCUGGGGGAACCAGACCCCUAUGAGGGGUCACGGAGUGCUCCCAGCCCCUCCUUGGAAAACAACUACUGGCGAUUCGCUCCAGCAAGUGGGACACGAAGAAAUCAAGCAGGAAUGGAGUCCAUGUGUCCUGCUUGCUGGCUGGGCUUUCAUAGCGCUGGAAGGUACCUCGCAGGCUACUGGGAGAGUAUUGUCAUCAACAGUCUUACACGGCUGUGAACCCUGCAUGCUACACCACCUGUCGCCAGGCAGUAUUGCGCACUGAUACAAUAGUGGCAUGGCUGUAAAGGGAGUAACCAACCAUCUUUCGAAGCUGGAAGGUGACAUCCAUAAACCUUUGAUGUAGGUCCUUUGAA